rnacentral:rRNA from 1 species
GACGAACGCUGGCGGCGUGCUUAACACAUGCAAGUCGAACGGAAAGGCCCUGCUUGCAGGGUGCUCGAGUGGCGAACGGGUGAGUAACACGUGGGUGAUCUGCCCCUUACUUUGGGAUAAGCCUGGGAAACUGGGUCCAAUACUGGAUAGGACCAUGCUGUAGGUGGUGUGGUGGAAAGAUUAGUUUCGGUAAGGGAUGAGCUCGCGGCCUAUCAGCUUGUUGGUGGGGUAAUGGCCUACCAAGGCGUCGACGGGUAGCCGGCCUGAGAGGGUGGACGGCCACAUUGGGACUGAGAUACGGCCCAGACUCCUACGGGAGGCAGCAGUGGGGAAUAUUGCACAAUGGGCGCAAGCCUGAUGCAGCGACGCCGCGUGGGGGAUGACGGCCUUCGGGUUGUAAACUCCUUUCAGCCAUGACGAAGCCCUUGUGGUGACGGUAGUGGUAGAAGAAGCACCGGCUAACUACGUG